rnacentral:rRNA from 1 species
GCCUUGAGUGGCCAGCACGUUUACUUUGAAAAAAUUGGAGUGCUCAAAGCAGGCGCUACAGCCUGAACAAUUGUGCAUGGAAUAAUGGAAUAGGAUCUCGGUUCUAUUUCGUUGGCUUUCGGAGUCGAGGUAAUGAUUAAUAGGGACAGACGGGGGCAUUCGUACUGCGACGUUAGAGGUGAAAUUCUUGGAUCGUCGCAAGACGAACUACUGCGAAAGCAUUUGCCAAGAAUGUUUUCAUUAAUCAAGAACGAAAGUUGGGGGCUCGAAG